AGUGAACGCUGGCGGUAGGCCUAACACAUGCAAGUCGAACGGCAGCACAGUACUAGCUUGCGCUUACGGGGGGCGAGUGGCGGGCGGGUGAGGAAUAUAUCGGAAUCUACUUUUUCGUGGGGGAUAACGCAGGGGAACUUACGCUAAUACCGCAUACGACGUACGGGGGAAAGCAUGGGAUCUUCGGACCUGGCGCGAGUGAAUGAGCGGGUGUCGGGUUAGCUGGUUGGCGGGGUAAAGGCCCCCCAAGUCGACGUUCCGUAGCUGGUCUGAGAGGAGGGUCACCCCCCCGGAGACUGAACCACGGUCAGGAUUCUUAGGGGAGGCACCGGUGGGGAAUAUUGGCAAAUGGGCGAAAGCCUGAUCAAGCCAGACCGCGUGGGUGAAGAAGGCCUUCGGGUUGUAAGGCCCUUUUGUUGGGAAAGAAAACCAGCAGGUUAAUCCCCGGCUGUUCUAACGGUACCCAAAAAAUAGGCACCGGUUAACUUCGU
rnacentral:rRNA from 1 species